rnacentral:rRNA from 1 species
UACGUAGGUGGCAAGCGUUGUUCGGAUUUACUGGGCGUAAAGGGCGCGUAGGCGGCUUAACAAGUCACUUGUGAAAUCUCCGGGCUUAACUCGGAACGGCCAAGUGAAACUGUCAAGCUAGAGUGCAGAAGGGGCAAUCGGAAUUCUUGGUGUAGCGGUGAAAUGCGUAGAUAUCAAGAGGAACACCUGAGGUGAAGACGGGUUGCUGGGCUGACACGUGACGCUGAGGCGCGAAAGCCAGGGGAGCAAACGGG